GUCUGCGCCCCUUUGGGGGACAUCGGCUCUGACCAGUGAGAUGACAGCGGCCGUCGCGGCUGCGGGGGGCGAGUGGUCGUGUCCAUGCUCAUUUCCUCCGUAACCUUUAAACUCUCGCUGGAAGCCGCGGCGGCGGCUGGUCACGUGAGGCGAGCCCUGGGCUGCUGGGGAAGAAUUUCCUCCGCGGGGAGCUGGGACGGGGAAGGCGGCCAGGCGAGGGACUGCCCCGCGCGGGGGAACUGGGAACCUGGGAGGGCUGGGCGAGAGCGCCGAGGCCCGGGGCGCGGCCCACCUGGACACCGGUGGGGGCUGCGCAGGCCAGAGGGCUUCGCCACCUGGAGCUGCGGGUUGAGCCAGUAGGAAAAGAAAACCUCCGCCCUCACCCUUGUGCCAAGUCAAGUCAGGGAGUUUGCAGGGACCACGGAAGGAUUGAUGCACACCCUGCUCAAUUGAUUCAAGUUCCUGCCCUGAACCUCAUCUAGUGAGAACCAAUGUGCUAGCUGAGGCAAGAUCUGACCCUACCACCACAAAGUUUAGCAUGUCAUUGUGGCUUUUCUCUAACAAGAAUUGAGAAGUGGCAAAUGUUUCUCUUGUUUUUCUCUGGUGACAUCCACACAUUCUGUGUUUGCGUGUGCCAGGGCUUCACAAUCCACAACAAGAAAACUCUAAAUUUAGAUACUCCCUGAAGAAAAACAGAGGCCAAGUUUAACCUGGCUGGAUGGACCUGGGGUAGAGAACAGACAUCAGAAAUGUCUCCUGCGAGAAAAUCCUCUCCUGUGGUUGCUUCCUACUUCUUUUGGCCUUGAUUGAGUUACUUCCACUCUUUGACCAAGAAGUUUCUCCAACUGUGAAAUGAGGAGUCUGUACCAGCUAUAAACUUUUUUGAUGGUUCAUCCGUAGCCUUUUAAACAACAUUUUAACACAUAUCCUCAAUAUAUGUAUCCUCUUUGUCUUUCAUUUACAAAGAGUAAAAUUUAUUCUGUGUGUGUGUGUGUAGUUCUCUGAGCUUUAACACAUAUAUAAAUUUGUGCAAGCACCACCCCAAUCAGUAUACAGAACAGUUCCAUCACCGCCCAACACUCCCUUGUGCUACCUGCUUGUAGUGAAACUCUGCCCCCCACACCUAACCUCUGGCAACCACUGAUUAGUUCUUCAUCCCUGUAGUGUCACCUUUUCCAGAAUGUCUUAAUAAAUGGAAUCAUACAGUAUGUAGCCUUUUGAGACUGGCUACUUUCACUCAGCAGAAGGUCUUUGAGCUUCUUUCUCUGUUGUUGAGUGUAUCAAUAAUUUGUUCUUUUUUAUUGCCAAGUAGUGAUUCACUGAAUGAAUGUCCUACAGUUUACUUAGUAACCCACUCAUUGAGGGGCAUUUAAUGUGCUUCCAGUUUUGGGUGAUUACGAAUAUAGCUGCAGUAGAGCUGAUUAUUUAGCUUAGUUGAUUAGAGCAUGGUGCUGAUAACACCAAGGUCAAGAGUUUGGAUCCGUGUACUGGCCAG